AUCUCUCGAAAUCUGCAGACAUCUUGAUUUUUCCCACGCUGUCUGUCAGGUCUCCGCCGCCACUCGACGCCAGGGCGCCGGGCCUUGUGGGCUGUGCUGCACCUCGGACGGCUUCGCACCAGCCAGCGCCCUCUCUCUCCUGCAGCACUCUGAUCUGCACCCCCUGAGGGGCUUCCACUGUCCGCGGGGUGAGAAUGCCCCUGGGAGUGUCACAUGACUGCCGCCCCAUGUGUGUGAGAGGCGUCCUCUGGGAGAGCAUGGAUCCUGAGGUCCCAGGAUUGUCAGCUGACCUCUGUCCUGUGUGCCCAGUGGCCCCAGGUGACGUGUCUUCAAGAAGAGGCUGAGCUGCGGUGCUUGUAAGGCAGGGUCUCAUUCUGUCACCCAGGCUGGAGUGCAGUGGUGCAAUGAUGGCUCACUGCAGCCUCGACCUGGGCUCAAGUGAUCCUCCACCUCAGCUUCCUGAGUAGCUGGGACCACAGGUCUCAGCCUUAGAUCCAAGGACAGUCCAAGGAAGUCCUAAGACCAUGGAGUUGGUGAUCUGGGAUCUGGGUUUGCUGAUAUUUCUCACCGUGAAUCUCUUGGUGGUGUUUGUGGGCACGAGAGGGGCAGAGAAUGGAGAGUGAGGCUACCACAUGAAGCGUCACCAGAGCUGCUCCCUGCUGCCUGCUCAGAGCACCCCGGAUCCACUGUUCAAUCUGCACAAGAUUCGGGGUCCAGACAUGGGAGACUUCAGCUGCCUCAGAGGACCGUGGACAGGGAAGGCCAGCCUCGCAUCCCUCUGUCCAUGCCUGGAAUGACUUUAAUAACCAAGAGUUUUAUUUUUGAAUUUGUAGCUGUCGUUCACUUUUUACCCACCCAUUCAAUAAACCUUACAGAAUUG
rnacentral:lncRNA from 10 species